UCUCUAAUUGGGAAUUUCUCAUUACUUUCAUUUAUCUAUACAAAACUUAGCAGCUAGCUUAUGAGAUGGGUACCAAGACACCACUAUUAAUUCUUCUUCUAUGUGUAGUUUUCUUGUUCAUGUUUUUGGUAUUAUGUGAAGCUAUUAGCUCCAGGCACACACAAUUUCUCAAGGUGAAGCCUAAUAACCCUCCAAAUUCAUCCCCAGCUAGUUUUUCUGGGCUCUUACCCAAAGGAAUGCCGAGACCGCCGUCCAGUCCAUCAAAGAGGCACAAUUCCAUAGGCUUGAAAAGCUGGCUGCAGAAACUGCCAUGAAGAUUGAUCUAUACUAUACUAAUUCUUUCAGAAGAAGGAAGCUGGUACAUAUAUGACUACUAGCAGCAUCUGUUGGGUCAAGCGGAAGAAACUCGGUGCUCCUUAAGAAACUCGGUGAUCUUGAAAAGGAAAAAACAGUGAGGAUAUUAGUUAAAGGGUAUUUUUGGACAUGGUUCUAUAGGUGAGUAUUGAUAACAUUAUAACAAGAUUUUCAUAUUGCUAAAUUAUAUUGUAUGUAGUUGUAAAUACUACAUUCUUUUUCCUCUCAACUAAUUGUAGUAGUUAGCUUUUUAGACUGGAAAUUAUGGGAUGUAUUAAUUUUUAGGAUCGGGUUAGCAUGGAAUUUAUUUUUUAGUAAGUUGGUCAAUAGAAUGUUGACACACAUUGAGUCUUGCUUACGUGUCAGUACUCUAUUAGUUCCAAUUUACUCAAAAAUAAAUUUCAAACUAACCACUCCUUAGUUUCUAGUUUCAUAAUCAUUGUGUUUCAUAAAAGUAGAACCUUUUUACAAUAUUGUAAAUAUAUUAAAAUCUAUUUUUGUUUCAGAUUCAUAUGUAAAAAUAAGUAAUCUCUAAUUUUGUAAUGUGACAUGGUAAUAAAAUUAAGAUAAUUGGUUUGAACAAAAUAACUAUUUUGUAAAAUUAUUUAAAAUUAACAAAUGAAACCUUUUUUAAAAUAAAAAAACGGAUGAAGUAUAUAAACACAAAAUGUCAAAUAUGCUAUCCCAUCACAAUUCAAAUUAUAUAUACUCGAAAUAGAACUUGACUACUUAGUUUCUCUUAUUGCUACAUUUGUGAUCUUUAGUUUAAUUUAUAAUUUAGUAGUUGUAAACGAAUCAAUCCAGUUCUUCAGUGGACAAAAUUCAGCUGACCUCAUUGCUCAGUUUGAUUAAGCUCGUUUAAGUCGAGAUCAAACAAGGUUCAAAUUCAAAGGGA
rnacentral:lncRNA from 1 species